rnacentral:rRNA from 1 species
GGAUUAGAUACCCUGGUAGUCCACGCUGUAAACGAUGUUCACUCGCUGUCGGCGAUACACAGUCGGCGGCUGAGCGAAAGCAUUAAGUGAACCACCUGGGGAGUACGAUCGCAAGGUUGAAACUCAAAGGAAUUGACGGGGGCCCGCACAAGCGGAGGAACAUGUGGUUUAAUUCGAUGAUACGCGAGGAACCUUACCUGGGCUUAAAUGUAGAUUGCAUAGGGUAGAAAUAUCCUUUCCCUUCGGGGCUAUUUACAAGGUGCUGCAUGGUUGUCGUCAGCUCGUGCCG